AUUUCCUGGCAAAAGAAAAAUUGGUGUAGUAGGAAGGACUGGGAGUGGAAAAUCAACUCUAAUACAGGCCAUCUUUAGGAUAGUUGAGCCCAGAGAAGGAACCAUUAUAAUUGACGGUAUUGACAUAACCAAAAUAGGCCUUCAUGACCUUAGAUCAAGACUCAGCAUCAUUCCACAGGACCCUACAAUGUUUGAAGGAACAGUAAGGGGGAACCUUGACCCAUUGGAGCAACACUCUGAUAGAGAAGUAUGGGAGGUAUAACUUCUUUCCCCCAAAGCUUUGUCUCAUUGAUGACUUUAAGUAAAAAAGGAAUUCGGAAAUAAAGAUUAUUUAGCAUGAGAAGAUAUCAUCAUACGAGCCCAAGUGAUAGAAAAAGCACGUGUAUGCUCACACAGUCACAUUCUACCAGAUUAAUAUCGUUGACCCAAUUUGAAAAGUAAAUAGAUUUUGCCACAACCAAGUACAGGGAAUUACAAGCAACUUCAUCAUGUUUUACUAACCCACAAAUUUUCUCUCUGAGACGAUCUAUAAACACAAAGUUGUGCAUUCCCCUGACUUGGAUCUGCUUUGAAUAUCAUGAUGACAGAAUUUCUGAUCUUACAGGCUCUAGAGAAAUGUCAACUUGGUGAUAUUGUCAGAGGAAAGGAAGAAAAGCUAGAUUCCGCAGGUUUGAUCCAUUAACCACGUCUUUCAUGCAGAGUUGCAAGUUUUGUGAAAAUAAAUUUACUAAUCUUAUUUUUCCUAACAGUUGUGGAGAACGGAGAAAACUGGAGUGCGGGCCAAAGGCAGUUGUUCUGUCUUGGUAGAGCCUUGCUGAAGAAAAGUAGUAUACUUGUACUCGAUGAAGCAACUGCAUCAGUUGAUUCUGCUACUGAUGGCGUUAUCCAAAAGGUCAUUAGUCAAGAAUUCAUGAACCGCACAGUGGUGACAAUAGCUCACAGAAUCCACACUGUCAUAAACAGCGACCUUGUCUUGGUUCUUAGUGAUGGUAGGGAAUAAAAUCUUUUUCCAUGAACACUCAUUCUCUCUUGGCUAAACAUUGCUAUGUUAGGAUUGAUACUGAAUAGCUCCUUUCAUUUUUUUGAUCGAACAGGAAGAAUAGCAGAAUUUGACACACCCACAAGAUUACUGGAAAGAGAAAAUUCAUUCUUCUCCAAGCUCAUAAGGGAGUACUCCAAGAGGUCACAAAGUUUCGGCAGCAUAGCACACCUAAAUAGCUAAACCAGGCAGUGACGGCAUCAAAGGGAACGGUGUCAAGGCAGAUGUGGGGGUCCUACGAUUGCAUCAACGCUAUCAGUUGCAAAUGUCGCGGAAAUGCUCGGGAUCAACAUGGGCACAUCGAACACAAGAUCAAUAAUCUGCCAAAUGAACGGAGCUUCUGAGUUAGGAUUUGGCCAGCAAUUAUUUUUAUGAUUAGCUAUGAGCAGACACCUCAUUGUCAUUGGAAUUGUUUUUAUUUAAGUGAGUAACGUGAGAAAAGUUAUAAGAAUUUCAAUAAGAGAAGAGAAAUACGCUUUGCCGAGGCAGCAUUGAGCCACAUGAUCAUGAAGAUGUGGUUCAAUAGUUAAAAUAUUCUAACAGUCUCACCAACAUGUAGGUUAAACUUCUGCCUAAAACUAAGGUUCAAUUUGUUUGAUAAAAGCCAUUUGCACAAUAUUAUUUUUGGAUUUUCCACUUUUUGGAUGACAAAAUAAUCAAUAGGCAAAAAGCAUUUUCCAUGAGCUGAAAACAACUCUCUUAGAUUGGGGAAAAUGGCUUCCCCUUCUUGAAAUCGUUUUCCUUUAAUGAUUGAGAGGGAUACACACUUUUGAAGUUUAGAAAUUUCUUCAGUUUAAUUUAUGUUUGGCGUGUACUAGAUCAAACAUUGCUAAUGUAAUAGGAGCUAUGAGCAGACAUGGCUAAUCCAUGAAUAAAGCACUAAGGUGUUAUAAAGUGGCUAUUAAAUACCUUAGAUGUACUUUUUUUUUCUUUUUUUUUUUUACCUUUUUUUACCUUAGAUGUACUUUAGGUGUGUUACUUUGUUUCAUCAAAAAUAGUAUAACUUCAUAAGGCUUUGUUGAUGCAAGCCUUGGUGGUGACAUGAAUAAUAAGAAGAGCACUUUGGUUAUGUUUUUAAUUUAGGCACGUUACGGUCAAUUGGAUGUAUAGAUUUUAGAUGUGUGCAUCCCUCUCAACCACUACAAUAAAGUGUUUCGCUACAUAUGAAGUUGGCAAGGAGAUAAUUUGGUUGAAGAUCAACCAUUACAAUAAAGUGUUUCGCUACAUAUGAAGUUGGCAAGGAGAUAAUUUGGUUGAAGAUUUUGUUAGAGGAAAAAGGUAGGAGCAAGAUAGCAAUUUUUAUUUAGUGAUAUUCAUAGCACUAUCUUGUCUUGCAAAGAAUCUGUCUUUUCACUCAAGGAUUAAGUAUAUGGAGUUGAAGUAUCAUUAUAUUCUCCAUUUGCUAGAUGGCACAUCGUGAAGAAGGUUCUUGGUGCAAAGAAGCCGGCAAAUUGGCUGUCAAUAUUGAGAAACUAAGGUUGUGCAUUGCUUCAAUUGGCCUUUAUGGUUUAAAAUAAGGAUGUGCCUCUACACUAGGACAGUUUGGGUUACAAAGGCAAGGGAAAAACUAGGAGAGACUAUUGAGUUUUGAAAAUCAGCCUCCAAAUCGGAGAUUGAUGAAUUUGUAGAGUCUGCUAGAGGAAUUUAUUGCUAAGGGUAUAAAUGUAAUAUAUGUCCUAGACUUCUUAUAUAUAUUAGAGAAAUCUCUUUCACGGUUGUACCUUGACACUGAAACCAAUAGUAAAAAGAUUGCUUAGUAUGGCCCGUGAUUUUUUCCUUUACUGUUUUUCAAAGGAUUUUCCACAUAAAAAUUCACUUGUCUUUUUCUCAAAUUUUUCCUCUUUUGCAUUACACGCUCCUAACAUUGAGCCUAAGCAAGAGCAUCGCAACUGAAGCAAGUAAGCGGAUAUAUACACAAUCAGUUUGCUUGUGACGAUGAAUCGCAUUGUCCCCAGAAUAAGUGUUCAUAUCUAUUCAUGCACGCUCACUUGUGUUGCCCCUAAAAAGAAGACAUGUCCAGAUGUGGAUCCUUUAUCUCUCAUAGGUGUCUCAACUCGUCGAUCGUGUUGAUUCUUACCUCAUUUUCGUAUGCAUCCACAGAUGAGAAGUGGUCGAGACAUUGACAAGAGCGCCAUGCCGAGCUGAGGAUCCUCAUGGAAUGCGUACGUUCAUGCAUUGUGUCCGCCUAACGUGUGUUCUUUUUUAUGUUUCUGUGUUCUGUCUUGCGUUUUGAGCUUUGGCAACGUUCUUGCAUAUCGAGUACAUUGCCGAUGAAGUGAAACGUUGUAGCCCCGUCACCUUCUAACAAAAUGUGAUUGUUUCGCGAGAAAAGCAAUCCGACUUUCGAGUUAAACAUGGAGGCAUCUUUCAAUACGAUCAGCUGGUCGGCGGUGAAUCCGACUACGCACAAGAUGGUUUCUCGUGUUCCCAUCGCUCGAGACAGCUGCUCUUGAACAGCUGAGAGUUACUCCCAAGACAGUCCCGGAGUGUCCAAAAUGAUGGGGAUUUUCGAGACAGAGAUCCUCUAUUUACUCAUUACAUCUCAAUCAAGAAGGUAUGUAUAAUAGAAUGAUCUGUAUCGCGAAGUUACUUAGAAAUUGAAUAGUAAACACAUUCGUGUUGUCAUUUAUUGUACCUGAGAGGGGUUGGAAGCCAGAAUUUUGUUUGCAAUGGAAUAUGGACACUUUUGAGAUCUUUACAAUGGCCAGAAGUAUAUGUAACAUCGUCCAACAUUGCCCUGAAAUUUCGAAGUCAUGGUCCAAUGGAUGCAAUUCCAAAUAAUCAUGAUGUACAAAUAGAACGACUCAUAUCGCAAAGUUACUUAGAAAUCGAAUAAUAAACGUAUCAGUGUCAUCAUCCGUUAUGCCUAAGAGGGAUCGGAAGCCAGAAUUUUGUUUGCAAUGGAAUAUGGACACUUUCGAGUUCUUUGUAAUGGCCAGAAGUAUAUGUAACAUCGUCCAACAUUGCCUUGAAAUUUCGAAGUUAUGGUCCUAUUUGGAUGCAAUUUCCAAAUAAUCAUUAUGUUAAUUUGGGAAAGCAUUGAUUAUUUUUACCCUAUUUAGAUUCUUUUUGUCUUUUUUGCUACAAAGUUUUAUUUCACUAAAUCAUUCUACCACUCACAUGUUCCGACAUGAAUCCAAUAAUUCUCGAUCAAACGUCAGAUUUACGUCUUUCAACAAUUGCGAUCCAUUUGGUUCAUAUGCCCCCAUUGAUGCAAAUAUUGGUAGGUGCUCUCAGCGACGAGCAUAUACGAGUUCGCACGUGCAGGUCAUUAGUCAAAUUCAUCAAUAUGGUAUCGUACGUGUGGAAUGACUAUGGAAAUAUUAGAUUUGGCCCGACCAGAAGUUGGACGAACCUGGACCACCUCUUUUUCGGUACGCUAAUUACUUAUGAACCGUCGCUAAUAACUUUUACAACGCUCCACCACGUAGCCUCAAGCAUGCAUUCAUUGACUAACUUCAAACAUGCAUUCAAUGACUAACUCCAAACAUGCAUUCAAUGACUGGCUGAGAAAACUUUGGACUAGAGGAUUCACUUCAAAAACAACUGCAAGCAGCGAAAGGCAGGAUCAUUCGUUCUGGGAGAGAACAAUUUUCAGGUGAACUCAGUGUCUGUCUUCUCUCUGGUGAGGAUGGCCGUUCUAGGAAUCGAUCUCGGAUCUCAUGGUAAGUCUCUUCACCCUUGAAAUUUUAAUUUUCCUGGUUGAGUUCGAUGGUACGUCAGUCUAUGCUGCGUUGUGCUAAAGUUUGGUACACGAGAGGCUUUUCUCUAGGAUAGGGUUUUGAAUAGGUCAUUAGGCAUGUGCUUGUGUAGCCAUGCCUAUCUGCAGAUGAGAGUAAUUAGUUCUUUGAAAACUUGAAAGGGAAGGCGUGAACCUGAUAUUGAUUUCUGCUGAUGAACGAUAGAUGCACCAGCACGGUGUAUACUCUCAAUUCAAAUGAUUCCUGAAGACAAGCCUGACAUGGAAGGAACCAAAGAUACAGUUCCCUAAUUAACAGUCCUCUUUUGUGUGUCGUUGUUUUACAACUGCAUCGACAAGGGGAACGCCAAAAUCAUGAAAAUUAAUGUUCUGUGUCUUUGGAAAACACUGACUGCACUCCACAUCCACAAGCUAGAACACAAUAAUGGUGGACCAAACAUUGCCAGUUUCAUUGCAGAUGAAACAAAGAGCUCUUUUGUUUGAUAAUUUAGCUGAGUCAAUUUAGCGUAUUAAUGAAGUUCGCACCUGAAUGUGAGCUUAAACCUGCGUGUCCUUGCAAAACAGAAUUGCAGAUUCUUCAGGAACUUCAGAGAGCAUGGCCAAAGGUGAACUCACCUUGCCCAAGGGAGCAAGUCAGCAUCAUUUUGCAACUCGGCUUCCUUGGAACCCUGCUACUAGUUUCCUUGGGAAGAUUAGUGCAUCUUCUGGGAAACAGGAGCAACACCACGGAUCAGGCAACUGACAGGCACAUGAUAUGUCACAGGUCCAGCAUAAUAGACAAAUCCAGCAUUGUCUGCACAACGUUAUUAGUGGGAACACAUCUGUUAAUGCUAUUAAUGUUGACAAAUGGCAACGAUGCCUCAUGUCUUUCCACAACUCAAGCAUUUUCAUCGGAGAUCAUGCAAGUAGUAUCCUGGGCAAUUACACUCAUAGUACUGUGCAAGAUAUGGAGGGAAAAGUAUAUGAAGUUCCCAUGGAUUCUAAGGGCAUGGUGGAUGUGCAACUUCCUCUUAUCUCUUUUUUGCACAACUCUCGACAUCAACUAUAUAAUUACGUCCCACAGCCACUUGAGGACACGAGACCUGGCAAACUUCAUAUGUUUGCUCGCCUCCACUGGACUGUUUAGCAUUUCCAUUCGAGGAAAGACAGGCAUGGUCUUCUCGCAUGCCAAUGGCAUGGGGGAACCGCUUCUUUCUGAAGAAGUCGAGAAACGUUCAGAAUCCAAAAGGGAAUCUCCAUAUGGGAAAGCUACACUCUUGCAACUCAUUACCUUCUCUUGGCUGAACCCAUUAUUCGCCACAGGGAUCAAGAAGCCCCUCGAGCAAAAUGAUGUGCCCGAUCUAGACAUCAAGGAUUCUGCAGCAUUUAGUUCUCGUUCUUUUAGCGACUGCCUAAAGCAAGUCAAGGAUAAAGACGGAGCCAAAAAUCCAUCCAUCUACAGAGCAAUCUUCUUUUUCAUCCGAAAGAAAGCGGCAAUCAAUGCACUUUUUGCGGUAGUAAGUGCCAUAGCAUCUUAUGUUGGUCCAUACCUCAUAGACAACUUUGUCAAUUUCCUAACCGACAAGAAAAGCAGGAGCUUGGAGAGUGGCUAUCUUCUAGCAUUAGCCUUUCUAGGUGCCAAAAUGGUCGAGACAACAGCACAGAGACAGUGGAUUUUCGGAGCACGCCAACUAGGCCUUCGGCUUAGAGCUGCUCUGAUAUUGCGUAUGUACAAGAAGGGACUGGUUCUGUCGGGCCAAUCUCGCCAAAGUCACACCAGUGGAGAGAUCAUCAACCACAUGAGCGUGGAUGUCCAGAGAAUCACAAAGCUCACGUGGUACUUAAACACAGUAUGGAUGUUACCCAUACAAAUCUCAUUAGCCAUCUACAUUUUGCAUAUUAAUUUAGGUUUAGGGUCUGUCGCUGCACUAGUGGCAACAUUCACUGUUAUGGCUUGCAAUAUACCUCUGACGAGAACUCAGAAAAAAUAUCAGUCCAAGAUCAUGGAAGCUAAAGACAGUAGGAUGAAAUCCACAUCAGAGGUUCUUCAAAACAUGAAAACCGUAAAACUUCAAGCUUGGGAUAAUCAGUUCCUCAACAAACUAGAGAGCUUGAGGAAAAUAGAGUACGAAUGGUUAUGGAAGUCACAACGACUGGGAGCACUAUCAGGAUUCAUCUUCUGGGGUUCACCCACUUUCAUCUCCAUCGUGACUUUUGGCACAUGUAUGCUAACGGGCAUUCAACUUACUGCUGGCAGAGUCUUAGCAGCCCUGGCCACUUUUCGAAUGUUACAAGAUCCCAUAUUUAGUCUUCCAGACUUGCUCAAUGUAAUUACACAAGGUAAAGUUUCUGCGGACAGAGUUGCUUCUUACCUGCAAGAAGAUGAAAUUCGACAGGAUGCAAUCGAAUAUAUUCCAAAGAAUCAAACACAGUUUGAUAUUGAGAUUAUCAAUGCAACAUUCAGCUGGAAUCCUGACUUGAUUACACCAACUCUGAGCAAUAUCGAGGUGAAAAUUAAGAGAGGCAUGAAGGUGGCGAUCUGUGGGAUGGUAGGAUCAGGGAAGUCAAGCCUUCUGUCAUGCAUCCUAGGAGAAAUAGAUAAGCUCUCUGGCCAAGUGAAAAUCAGCGGUACAAAAGCUUACGUUCCGCAGUCUCCUUGGAUACUGUCAGGGAAUAUAAGGGAUAACAUUCUAUUUGGAAAUCCAUAUGAUCCCAACAAGUAUGACCGAACAGUCCAGUCAUGUGCUUUGAUCAAGGAUUUUGAGCUGUUUUCAGCGGGCGAUCUCACGGAGAUUGGAGAAAGAGGCAUCAACAUGAGUGGAGGGCAAAAGCAAAGGAUACAAAUUGCACGUGCAGUUUACCAAGAUGCUGAUAUAUAUCUGCUCGAUGACCCUUUCAGUGCAGUGGAUGCUCAUACAGGCACACAACUCUUUGCAGUAAGUUCUAAAACUCUCUUGCAAGAGUAAUGUUAUGAUGAUGGAUAACAAAAUCAGAUCCUAGAACGAUGUUUCACAUGCUUUACCACAAAAAUUUGCAUACUGAGUUUAUUCCCUGUAGGAUUGCCUGAUGGGAAUGCUCAAAGACAAGACAAUACUCUUUGUCACCCACCAAGUCGAAUUCCUUCCUGCAGCAGAUCUCAUUCUGGUAAGUGAACUUCACAAAAAGUAAUUCUCCAUUUGACAACAGGGAACUUUCAGAAAGAACAGAUGUUUAAUUAAAUAGACUGACAUCUUCUGAAAAUAACUCUGAGAAGAAUUUGACAAUUGACUCAACUUGAGAAUCUGAAAGUCCACAGAUCACGGUAUUGAACUUUCAUCUUUUGCUCCAGUUAAGCAACGUCUAAUCUCAUAUGUUGAUAAAGCUACUGUGGAUCUGUAUGUCAACAGGUGAUGCGGGAUGGAAGAAUAGCACAGGCUGGCAAGUUUGAAGAUCUCUUAAAACAGAAUUCAGGAUUUGAAGUGUUGGUGGGCGCUCAUAGCAAAGCCCUUGAGUCAAUCCUCACAGUUGAAAAUUCAAGCAGAGCAACUCAAGAACCAACAGCUGAUGGCGAAUCCAACAAAGACUUUGAUUCUGCAGCUGAACUUCCACCUAGAAAGCAUGACUCUGAGCAUGAUCUAUCCUUGGAGAUAUCAGAGAAGGAAGGGAGACUGGUGCAAGAUGAAGAACGAGAAAAAGGAAGCAUUGGAAAAGAAGUUUACUGGUCCUACAUAACAACAGUGAAGGGCGGAGCGCUAAUCCCGAUAAUUCUCAUUGCUCAGUCCUCAUUUCAGAUACUCCAAGUAGCCAGUAAUUAUUGGAUGGCAUGGGUUUGUCCUCCAGAUAGUGAUACUGAACCAUUGUAUAAAAUGGAUACAAUCCUUCUUGUUUACGUACUGCUUGCUGUUGGAAGUUCACUCUGCGUACUUCUUCGAACAAUGCUUGUUGCGAUAACAGGAUUAUGGACAGCACAGACGCUAUUCAUGAAAAUGCUUUACAGUGUAAUGCGGGCUCCGAUGGCAUUUUUUGACUCAACCCCUACUGGAAGGAUCUUAAGCAGGGUGAGCAACAUAGUACUUCUGCAUUUCAAGUCAUAAAUUUAUCAUUAUACAUGAAAAUCAAAACUGAUAGCAAGCAUAAUUAUUAUCAUUUUUUUCCAUCGUCAUUUCAGUUUCUUGAGAAGCAGAUAUGAAAUCAAGUGUAUAAGCGACCACAAAUUCAGGCAUGAGCAGUUGAAGCGUCACUUAAGGACAUGCCAUCGCUUAUCUGCAACUGUCAAAGAUUAAUUUAGCCCUGUACUCAGAUUGAAAUAGUAUUGCCCGUGUCAGUAGAAAUCUGAACAAAUAAAACCUGUUUUUCAUAAAUUAUUCUAACGAAUAUACUAAAUCUUUGAAAGGGUUGGGUAGUGUCCACUCCCUGACUAGGGAUUCUACAUGAACCGUAUCAAAUAUCCAAGACAAAUUCUUCAACAUCUCAAAAUUUGCCAGUAAUUCCACAGAAACUACUAAAAGGCAGAUUGAAAUCAUUUCACACUUGGAUUAAAUUGAAUUGGGAUCAUUUUGCAGUGCUGAAGAACUCACCACAACUGCCACAAAACUGACACCUUUUAACAUGCCAUCUUAUAAUAAAUUCUACACAUGUGAAUAUUAUCAAGUUAUGCCUGGUCACACAACAGGUACAAAGGCUGAUGUUGGUGUGAUGACGUUGAACCAUAUGUAUGCAGGCAUCCACUGAUCAAAGUGCACUAGACUUGGAAGUGGCAUGGACAUUGGGUCGGUGUGCUUUCUACAUAAUACAGCUUCUAGGAACAAUUGCAGUGAUGUCGCAGGUAGCAUGGGAAGUAUUUGUGAUCUUCAUUCCGGUGACUGCAAUAUGUAUAUGGUACCAGGUAAUUCCAUUCCUUACAAGAGUCACACAAAUCUUCCUAGGACAGGUUGUUGGAAGCAUGGGAAGCAUACUGGCAUCAUGAUAGUGCAUGUCUUUUAGUAUUUUAAAUGCUAUAUCAUCAUUUCCUGUAGGAAAUGAUGUUGUUCAUGGUCAUACUAUAAAAAACAAGAACCUAACAGCUGUAUCUAGAAUCUGAAUCAAAUUCUUCAAAGCGGUCCAAUCAAAGAGAUGACGAGGCCAGUUACAAUUAGUAAUGUCUGGACAUCCCUUUCUACUUCUAUUCUUUGUCGGAUGUGACACUAGCAUCGUCUCACGCCAUUCAGGAACUUCCACAUUCCUUAAAAAAGUUCAAAGAUGAAUAGGUGGAAGAUGUUUCCACUCCCCAAAAUAGAGAGACGUGAGUCAAGUCAAAUACAUGACAGUAAAGUGCUCCUGCUAAGUUGCUUCAAAAUGUCACCAGAAACUGAUACUAUAUUGAAAAAUUUAUUGAAACAUUCUCCUUUCCUUGUUUCAGCAAUACUACAUAACAACUGCAAGAGAACUAGCCCGCAUAUCAGGGACUCAGCAAGCUCCAAUUCUACACCACUUUGCAGAAUCAAUAGCAGGAGCAGCAACAAUUCGUGCUUUUGACCGAGAAGAUCGAUUCACUGAUGGAAAUCUAGGGCUUGUAGACAAUCACUCAAGGCCAUGGUUUCAUCUUGUGUCAGCAAUGGAAUGGCUUUCAUUUCGCCUAAAUCUGUUGUCUAACUCUGUCUUUGCCUUUGCAUUGCUUUUGCUGGUAUCCCUCCCUGAAGGAAUUAUUAUCCCAAGUAAGUCGUGCUAAUUUUCUUAGAUUAUUUCGCUACGGCAAGAUCAUGAGUAGUAUGUACUAUGCAUACCAUAGGAGAUUUUUUUUAUUUUUUAUAUUCGAACAAUAUCAGACAUCUGCUGGAAUCAACGGCACAAAAAAGAGUAAAUCUCAAAUUCAAGCAUAGUCUAGUAUGAAGUACCUAUUAGAACAGGAUUUGUACAGAAAACACUAAAAAGAUAAUCAAUUUUGUUUUGCAGGCAUAGCUGGGUUGGCUGUAACGUACGCAAUCAACCUGAAUGUUCUUCAAGCUUCUGUUAUAUGGAAUAUAUGCAAUGCUGAGACCAACAUGAUCUCAUUUGAGAGAAUACUUCAGUACUCACACUUAGCAAGUGAAGCAGCUCUUUUAAUAGAAGACAGCAGACCUCCAAGCAACUGGCCGGAAACAGGAAAGAUCUGCUUCAGAAACUUGCAGGUAAGCUAAGCAUCAAAUUCCAAGAUAUGCAAUGAAAAUCUCAGUUCCACAUUCCAACAUUAUUCUGAAAUUUUCUGCAUCACUUAUGGAUGAUUUCUUUACAAUUGCUAUCAAUCUCCCUCUCAACCUCUGGAAUGCCCAUGAGAUGUCUUGGAUCACUUACAUGUUUAUUCUUGCAGAUCCGAUAUGCUGAACAUCUCCCAUCUGUCCUAAAAAAUAUCACGUGUACGUUUCCCAGCAGGAGGAAAAUUGGUGUGGUAGGAAGGACAGGGAGUGGAAAAUCCACCCUCAUUCAGGCCAUCUUUAGGAUUGUUGAGCCCAUGGAAGGAAGCAUUAUAAUUGAUGAUAUUGACAUAUCUAAAAUAGGCCUUCACGACCUUAGGUCAAGACUCAGCAUCAUUCCGCAGGACCCUACAAUGUUUGAAGGAACGGUAAGAGGAAACCUUGACCCACUGGAGCAA
rnacentral:lncRNA from 1 species